CGAAAUGGGGUCUUAGGUGGACGCCUGGCCAAACCCUCAGGGCCGACCCUGCUUCCCUCCCACUCGUUUCUUCCCCGAGCCACACACAGGCACCACCUCCAAUUUUCGACGAUUUUAACCACCAAAACACCAUCACAGUUUCACCACGACUCCGUAAUCACCAUCAAACCCGCUGUUUAGCGAGAUUCAAAGACGAAUCCCUGGAACCCUGUUAAGGGUAAGGAACAGAUGGGCUAGAUUCCGAUAUCUUUUGGCCGUUUCCGGCCACUCCCACCUCUCCGGCUACCUCUUCAACGCGGAUAAGACAUCUUGAAGCUCUGAAUCUUUAUUCAACAGAUGGUGGGAGAAUUGUUAGAGAGAAACAAUAGAGAAGACGGUUUUUUGGUGAAAAAAUUACCAAAAAAAAAUAAAAAAAAUAAAAAAAAAAUCAUAAUUGAUUCCUAGUCUGUAUGAACGGCCAAGAUUUCGUGAUCAGGAGGCUCUGCAUGGCUAGAUCCGGAGAAGGCGAGACAGAGGGGCGAAUAAAGAAGAUACAAUGUUAGUAAUUAAGUCUAGUUUGUUGACAGACGGCAUGAAUUAUUGAAUACUUUUGCAACUCUGCCCAUAUUCCUGAUGCUCUUUCCUCUUGCGGGUUUGAACUAGCAUAAAAGAUUAAUUAUGCAAAUUUUUAGUUAUAUUCGUAUGUCAAUGAUAUUACGAUUUGUUUCCUUAUAAAAAAAAAAAGAAAAGAAAAAGAAAUAUGAAACUCCAA